rnacentral:lncRNA from 1 species
UGAUAUUUAUGGCUCGUUUUCUAUCCAAGCCAAUGGAAUACCUAUAUAAGUAUAGUUGUCUUGGACUAUUCUAAAAUUUUAGAAUUUGACAAAAUGCAAACCGUAUUUUAUCAUGUUUAUCACCAAAUACCCCAGCAGCAAAUAAAAGAAAACCAAGUAUCUAGCCAAAUUCAACUCUGCCUGGAGAUCUGAUUUCAAAUGGUGCAAAUCCAGUACCAAGGGUCAAGACCAUGCUUACUACACUUCAUGCAAAGCUGACUAUGGUUGCCCUAAUGACUGGACCAAACUUAUGGAGACAGCUACCAACAGCAAGCCUACAACUCUAUCAAUUUAAC